UAGAGAUAUGAUGGAAGAGAACUUUAUUCUUUCGCUUUUAGUUCCCGCCUCAUGCACUAAGAUAACUAUCUUCUAUUAAAAACUAGAUUCUAAUACGUAAAAGAGAUUCCCACAAACCCCAUUUCGGAGCCAUAGUAAGUAGUGGGCAUAUUGGUCUCUCAAUCCAAGGAAGAGAAAAGGGUAGCACAGUUGUUGAUUCUAAAAUUUUUAACCCUUCGGAAUUCGACUUUUACCUUUUCAGUCAUGCUGGAAUUCAGGUACAAGUCGUCCUGCCCAUUACCAUGUUUUAUGAGAUGAGAACAAGUUCACUGUUGAUGAAUUGCCGACCCUAACGAAUAAUCUUUGUUACACAUAUGUUAGGUGUACUCGGUCCGUUUCUAUCCGUUUCUAUCGGUUCAUGGUUUGUUAAAUUGGUAUAACCUUCUACAGUGCCCCCAGCGUACUACGUCUUGCUGCUUCUGAGCUCGUUUUUAGAUGGAACCUGAAACCUCUGAUAGUGGGUCAAUUAGCAAUGAUGCUACUGCUAGAUGUAGUGGCGUUGGUGGUGCUUGCAGUACAUGGGCACUAGGGUUUAAUGCUGUUGUUUGACCUUUGCCAGCUCUGAAAGAGAAUGUUAAGAGGACUAUGUUCUAUUGUUGAUGACUUGUUUUAAUUUAUUACCACUAGUUUCUCUCCCAAGUCUCGAAGUGUGUUGUUUAUUUCUUCCCGGAGCUUUGGUUUGAAGUAAUCUUGCUCUUGCGAAGGUAGAUAUCUCUAGGCUUCCCUUUUCAUCAGGAUCAGUAGAUGUUGUUCAUGCUGGAGCAACAUUGCAUUGUUGGCCAUCUCCUUCCAAUGUUGUGAGCAUUGUCUUGUAUAACAUAUUCUAUUAUUUGAUUUCCUACCAGGAAAACAUAUUCGAAUUCAUCCCAUCAUUUCUUGUAGUGAAAUUAAAUAAAUAAAACGAUCAUAGUAUAUUACUACAUGUUUCAAGGUGAUCUCUAACAUUUUCAACUUUUACGUGCUGUCAUAUCACAACACGUGGAUAUCACUCUCUAUCUCAACAUUCGACGGACAACAAUGGCUAGAUUGAUGAGUUUAACGGCGUUGUGACCCAACAUUCGAACGAACGACAAUGGCUAGAUUGGUGGGUUCGAUGGCAUUGGCUUAUUGUCGCAUUUCGACGAUGGUGGUUAGAGCACUAUUUCGACUCUGAUGGGUGGAGGAAAAUUGAACGAAAGGGAUUUUUAGCGUUACGCGGCUAGUGGGUUCAACAAUUGAUUUUAAUUGCGUGAGUGGGGGAAUUCAAAAAUAUUGGAAUUUGGGAUUUCUUUAGUUGGAAAUUUGUUUAAUGACACAAAAAAUUUGUUAUUAAUUAACGAUGCAAAAUUUGUGUCAAGAAAAAUUAUAUAACAAUGUUUUGAUUAAUAGUGUCAUUAAAACCCAUUUUUCUAGUAGUGUUGCAACAAAAAAAGGUUCAUAUUGUAUCUUAUACAUGUAAAUUUUGUUGAUAUUGGAUAUAGGUGAAUCUCAAUAUUGAUAUGAUACACCUUUGCACUGCACAUAUAUUUUGUUUAUAUUAGACAUAGAUGGAAAGUUUAGGCUAUUGUUAGAAGUUUGGGCUGCACAUAUAUGUUGUAAUUAAGUAUG